rnacentral:lncRNA from 1 species
AACCAGAAAUGAAACUCCCAGGAAGUCCUGAUUUGCCCCUUUCUCCAGAGGCAUUCAAGGAAGAGUUUUGCCCCAUUGACAACUUCCAAGAAAUUUCCAUUUGGUUUUCUUUUAAGAAAAAGGGAGGUUAGGUCCCAAGCCCUGGUUUGCCUGUUAGUGUGUGAUCCCCAGGGAGCUGAGAAGAAUGUAGGGAAAAGCAGUUUUCACCAGUUUGCAAGUCAGCAGUGGUGGGAUGCGUCCAGCAGGGAGCCUUUCCUGAGGUGUGGAGCCAGGGCCCUUCCUUGGCACUCACAUAGGGAUGAUAGAGGAGUGGCUUAGCUGGCUGGGGCCCCCAGAGGUCCAGGUUCCCAGGCUCCUCUGGGGCAGGUGUGCCAACAGACGAUUUACCCUGCUCCAGCCCCAGGCAGCCCUGCAUGGACCACUGGUGGGCCCCUGCCUCACCCCUCCAUUUCGGUGAGGUGCCGGCUUUCUUGCCGCAGUUUGCUUGGUCUGAUGCCUUUGGGGGAGAACAUCCGUGGCCUCUGCCCACUAUUCUUUCUGUCUGGACCGCCGGGUAGGUUGUCGGAUGCCACGCUCAGAAUUAAUAGAGAUAUGAGCGAAGGGGCCAUGCUGGUGGGGGCCAUGGUCCCAAAUGCCGUCAGGGAGGUGGGUUAGAAAGGGACGAGAUGGUGGAGGCUGGGCUUGUGGCCGCUCACUUUGGGGAGCUGGGAUUUGCUUCCCACUGUGGUCGAUCUGUAGUCCAGUCUUCCACCUCAUCCAUCCAUCCAAGGUCACAGAGCCACAAGAGCCCAGAUGGGGAUUACCCAGAGGUGAGGUUGAUGUAAUCAGAUGGUCACUUGGUCUGGGCAGUUUAGAAGGCCUUGACUUUCUGAGCAUCCAGGCUGGGGGCAUCUUGAUGGGGUGGCCCAGGGAAGGCAGUGAGCAGGGGAGGCCUUUCCAUUCUGGAAGGCUCCAUGCCACCCACAGAUGUGGCUUCCCCUCCCUUCCCCCACGCUUUGAUAGGAGUGCCCACCAUCUCCCUUCCUCCCCACGACGUGUAAAGAGAUCAGGAUGCGUAUGGAGGAGGAGCUUCAGAGGCUGCCACCUCUUGCUUUUUCAUGCAGGGUGGGCUUGUCGAUGA